GAUGAACGCUGACCGAAUGCUUAACACAUGCAAGUCCACUUGAACUUCGGUUUGGGUGGCGGACGGGUGAGUAACGCGUAAAGAACUUGCCUCACAGAUAGGGACAACAUUUGGAAACGAAUGCUAAUACCUGAUAUUAUGAUUAUAUGGCAUCGUAUAAUUAUGAAAGCUAUAUGCGCUGUGAGAGAGCUUUGCGUCCCAUUAGCUAGUUGGAGAGGUAACGGCUCACCAAGGCGAUGAUGGGUAGCCGGCCUGAGAGGGUGAUCGGCCACAAGGGGACUGAGACACGGCCCUUACUCCUACGGGAGGCAGCAGUGGGGAAUAUUGGACAAUGGACCAAGAGUCUGAUCCAGCAAUUCUGUGUGCACGAUGAAGUUUUUCGGAAUGUAAAGUGCUUUCAGUUGGGAAGAAAAAAAUGACGGUACCAACAGAAGAAGAGACGGCUAAAUACGUG
rnacentral:rRNA from 1 species